rnacentral:rRNA from 1 species
CCUACGGGUGGCUGCAGUAAGGAAUAUUGGACAAUGGCGGAGACGCUGAUCCAGCUAUCCCGCGUGCAGGAUGACGGCCCUACGGGUUGUAAACUGCUUUAGACUGGGGCGAAAAAGUGGGAUUUAUCCUACAUUGACGGUACCAGUAAAAUAAGCACCGGCUAACUCCGUGCCAGCAGCCGCGGUAAUACGGAGGGUGCAAGCGUCAUCCGGAAUCACGGGGGAGAAAGCGUGUGUAGAAGUCUUGAUAGAAAGGCCAUGGCUCAACUAUGGGAUUGCUUUUGAUACUGGCGAGCUUGGAUUAGGACGAGGUUGGCGGAAUGUGGCAAGUAGCGGUGAAAUGCAUAGAUAUGCCAUAGAAUACCGAUUGCGAAGGCAGCUGACUAGACCUAUAUUGACGCUGAGGCACGAAAGCGUGGGGAGCGAACAGGAUUAGAUACCCCGGUAGUC